rnacentral:rRNA from 1 species
CAGCAGCCGCGGUAAUACCGGCGGCCCGAGUGGCGGUCACUAUUAUUGGGCUUAAAACGUCCGUAGCCGGGUUGGGAAGUCCUCCGGGAAAUCUGGCCGCUUAACGGUCAGAAUGCCGGAGGAUACUCCCAGCCUAGGGAGCGGGAGAGGCCGAGGGGAUUCCCGGGGUAGGGGUGAAAUCCUAUAAUCCCGGGAGGACCACCUGUGGCGAAGGCGCUCGGCUGGAACGCGUCCGACGGUGAGGGACGAAGGCCAGGGGAGCAAACCGGAUUAGAUACCCGGGUAGUCCUGGCUGUAAACGAUGCGGACUUUGUGUCGGACAAGCUAUGAGCUUGUCCGGUGCCGGAGGGAAACCGUUAAGUCCGCCGCCUGGGGAGUACGGCCGCAAGGCUGAAACUUAAAGGAAUUGGCGAG